ACUCCUACGGGAGGCAGCAGUAAGGAAUAUUGGUUCAAUGGACGCAAGUCUGAACCAGCCAUGCCGCGUGAAGGAUGAAGGUCCUCUGGAUUGUAAACUUCUUUUAUAGGGGGCGGAAAAAGGUUUUACUUAAAUACACUUGACAGUACCCUACUGAAUAAGCACCGGCUAACUCCGUGCCAGCAGCCGCGGUAAUACGGAGGGUGGCAGCGUAUCCGGAUUCACUGGGUUAAGGGUGCGUAGGCGGGUAGGUAAGUCAGAGGUGAAAUCCUGGAGCUUAACUCCAGAACUGCCUUUGAUACUAUCUAUCUUGAAUAUGGUGGAGGUAAGCGGAAUAUGUCAUGUAGCGGUGAAAUGCAUAGAUAUGACAUAGAACACCUAUUGCGAAGGCA
rnacentral:rRNA from 1 species